UCUUAUGGAUGAACCAAGAAAGUGAUUUCUUGAGAAAGAAACUACUUGUGGUGAAGAUUCUGUGAA
rnacentral:pre_miRNA from 1 species